rnacentral:rRNA from 1 species
AUUGAACGCUGGCGGCAGGCCUAACACAUGCAAGUCGAGCGGAUGAAGGGAGCUUGCUCCUGGAUUCAGCGGCGGACGGGUGAGUAAUGCCUAGGAAUCUGCCUGGUAGUGGGGGAUAACGUCCGGAAACGGGCGCUAAUACCGCAUACGUCCUGAGGGAGAAAGUGGGGGAUCUUCGGACCUCACGCUAUCAGAUGAGCCUAGGUCGGAUUAGCUAGUUGGUGGGGUAAAGGCCUACCAAGGCGACGAUCCGUAACUGGUCUGAGAGGAUGAUCAGUCACACUGGAACUGAGACACGGUCCAGACUCCUACGGGAGGCAGCAGUGGGGAAUAUUGGACAAUGGGCGAAAGCCUGAUCCAGCCAUGCCGCGUGUGUGAAGAAGGUCUUCGGAUUGUAAAGCACUUUAAGUUGGGAGGAAGGGCAGUAAGUUAAUACCUUGCUGUUUUGACGUUACCAACAGAAUAAGCACCGGCUAACUUCGUGCCAGCAGCCGCGGUAAUACGAAGGGUGCAAGCGUUAAUCGGAAUUACUGGGCGUAAAGCGCGCGUAGGUGGUUCAGCAAGUUGGAUGUGAAAUCCCCGGGCUCAACCUGGGAACUGCAUCCAAAACUACUGAGCUAGAGUACGGUAGAGGGUGGUGGAAUUUCCUGUGUAGCGGUGAAAUGCGUAGAUGUAGGAAGGAACACCAGUGGCGAAGGCGACCACCUGGACUGAUACUGACACUGAGGUGCGAAAGCGUGGGGAGCAAACAGG